CCUUCUCCCCAUUUAAAUUGUAAAAUACAAGUGAGGGCAGGAACAGGAUAGAAGGAGGCCUGUCAUUGGAUGAGAAGGAAGGAUAGGCGGGAGAAGAGUUUGAAGGAAGAGGAGGAGAUAGAAAUGGAAAAGAAGAAGAGAGGAGAGAGAGGGGGAGAAGCCAUGGCUCUAAGUACCAAGAGAGACUUAACAAUAACCCACAGGCCAUAUCCCUCAUGUCCGUGCUGUACCUGGCAAAGAGAAGAGACCAAAGAGUGAACUAGUAAAUGAUGGUUUCCUCCAGUCCUGUUGUGACUUCCCGAGCGUUAGCAUGUCUUGGGAUAAAAGAGGAGCACACUCCCUCUUCAGUCUAUUCCUCCAGGAAUUCUCAAGGCCAUCUCUGGAGAGACGGAUGUCACACAUUUGCUGCACCAAAGGUCUCUAUGUCUUAGAUAGGAAAGUGGCUGGGUUGGGCUGUCUGCUGCAUGGCCCCUCUGAAGCUCCCCGGGCUCUUCAUGUGUUCUGUGGUCAAUGGGAACCAUACUGCCAUGGUGGCUGCAAAGUUAGAUGGGAAGACGUAUGCAAAACAAGAGAAACCGUAAUAAAAAAACAGUGGAAGGCUUCA